CCUACGGGUGGCUGCAGUCGAGAAUCAUUCACAAUGGGGGAAACCCUGAUGGUGCGACGCCGCGUGGGGGAAUGAAGGUCUUCGGAUUGUAAACCCCUGUCAUGUGGGAGCAAAUUAAAAAGAUAGUACCACAAGAGGAAGAGACGGCUAACUCUGUGCCAGCAGCCGCGGUAAUACAGAGGUCUCAAGCGUUGUUCGGAAUCACUGGGCGUAAAGCGUGCGUAGGCUGUUUCGUAAGUCGUGGGUGAAAGGCGCGGGCUCAACCCGCGGACGACACAUGAUACUGGGAGACUAGAGUAAGGGAGGGGGAAACGGAAUUCUCGGUGUAGCAGUGAAAUGCGUAGAUAUCGAGAGGAACACUCGUGGCGAAGGCGGGUUCCUGGACAUUAACUGACGCUGAGGCACGAAGGCCAGGGGAGCGAAAGGGAUUAGAUACCCCUGUAGUC
rnacentral:rRNA from 1 species